UACGUAGGGUGCAAGCGUUGUCCGGAAUUAUUGGGCGUAAAGAGCUCGUAGGCGGUUUGUCGCGUCUGCUGUGAAAACUCGGGGCUUAACCCUGGGCCUGCAGUGGGUACGGGCAGACUAGAGUGCGGUAGGGGAGACUGGAAUUCCUGGUGUAGCGGUGAAAUGCGCAGAUAUCAGGAGGAACACCGGUGGCGAAGGCGGGUCUCUGGGCCUUACCUGACGCUCAGGUGCGAAAGCUAGGGGAGCGAACAGG
rnacentral:rRNA from 1 species